rnacentral:snoRNA from 1 species
AGCUUGUCAAUGAUGUUUCUCUCAAAAAAUGUCUGAACAUAUGAGUUCAGAAGUGAUUUCAACCUGUAACUGAGAUAAGCU